rnacentral:rRNA from 1 species
CCUACGGGAGGCAGCAGUGAGGAAUAUUGGUCAAUGGACGCAAGUCUGAACCAGUCAUGCCGCGUGCAGGAAGACGGCUCUAUGAGUUGUAAACUGCUUUUGUACGAGGGUAAACGCAGAUACGCGUAUCUGUCUGAAAGUAUCGUACGAAUAAGGAUCGGCUAACUCCGUGCCAGCAGCCGCGGUAAUACGGAGGAGUCAAGCGUUAUCCGGAUUUAUUGGGUUUAAAGGGUGCGUAGGCGGUCGGAUAAGUUAGAGGUGAAAACCCGAGGCUCAACUUCGGAAUUGCCUCUGAUACUGUUCGGCUAGAGAGUAGUUGCGGUAGGCGGAAUGUAUGGUGUAGCGGUGAAAUGCUUAGAGAUCAUACAGAACACCGAUUGCGAAGGCAGCUUACCAAGCUACUUCUGACGUUGAGGCACGAAAGCGUGGGGAGCAAACAGGAUUAGAUACCCGGGUAGUC